GCAGGGAGUUGUUGCAGAGCAGAUAGGGUCUUGCAGGGAGUUGUUGCAGAACAGGAAGGGUGUGCAGGGGGUCUUGCAGAGCAGAUAGGGUGUGCAGGGAGUUGUUGCAGAGCAGACAGGGUGUGCAGGGAGUUGCAGAGCAGACAGGGUGUGCAGGGGGUUGUUGCAGAGCAGGAAGGGUGUGCAGGGGUUGUUGCAGAGCAUAUAGGGUGUGCAGGGGGUCUUGCAGAGCAAACAGGGUGUGCAGGGAGUUGCAGAGCAGGAAGGGUGUGCAGGGGUUGUUGCAGAGCAUAUAGGGUGUGCAGGGGGUCUUGCAGAGCAGACAGGGUGUGCAGGGAGUUGCAGAGCAGGAAGGGUGUGCAGGGGUUGUUGCAGAGCAUAUAGGGUGUGCAGGGGGUCUUGCAGAGCAGACAGGGUGUGCAGGGAGUUGCAGAGCAGGAAGGGUGUGCAGGGGUUGUUGCAGAGCAUAUAGGGUGUGCAGGGGGUCUUGCAGAGCAGACAGGGUGUGCAGGGAGUUGCAGAGCAGG